GGACUACUGGGGUUUCUAAUCCUGUUUGAUCCCCACACUUUCGUGCCUCAGCGUCAGUUACAGUCUAGUAAGCUGCCUUCGCUAUCGGUGUUCUUGACGAUAUCUAUGCAUUUCACCGCUACACCGUCAAUUCCGCCUACCUCGUCUGUACUCAAGUCCGCCAGUAUCAAUUGCACCUCGACAGUUAAGCUGCCGUAUUUCACAACUGACUUAAUGGACCGCCUACGCACCCUUUAAACCCAAUAAAUCCGGACAACGCUUGCCACCUACGUAUUACCGCGGCUGCUGGCAC
rnacentral:rRNA from 1 species